rnacentral:rRNA from 1 species
CCAGCUGCGUGAAGUAAUGUGAAUUGCAGGACACAUUGAACAUCGAUAUCUUGAACGCACAUUGCGGCCUCGGGUAUUCCCGAGGCCACGCCUGUCUCAGGGUCG